UACGGAGGGAGCUAGCGUUGUUCGGAAUUACUGGGCGUAAAGGGCUCGUAGGCGGCCAACUAAGUCGGACGUGAAAUCCCUCGGCUUAACCGGGGAACUGCGUCCGAUACUGGAUGGCUUGAGUUCGGGAGAGGGAUGCGGAAUUCCAGGUGUAGCGGUGAAAUGCGUAGAUAUCCGGAGGAACACCAAAGGCGAAGGCAGUGUCCUGGGGAGUACCUGACGCUCAGGUGCGAAAGCCAGGGGAGCGAACGGG
rnacentral:rRNA from 1 species